rnacentral:rRNA from 1 species
GGGGAAUUUUGGACAAUGGGGGCAACCCUGAUCCAGCCAUGCCGCGUGUCUGAAGAAGGCCUUCGGGUUGUAAAGGACUUUUGUCAGGGAGGAAAUCCUGAGCGUUAAUAGCGUUCGGGGAUGACAGUACCUGAAGAAUAAGCACCGGCUAACUACGUGCCAGCAGCCGCGGUAAUACGUAGGGUGCGAGCGUUAAUCGGAAUUACUGGGCGUAAAGCGUGCGCAGGCGGUUGUGCAAGUCUGAUGUGAAAGCCCCGGGCUUAACCUGGGAACGGCAUUGGAGACUGCACGACUAGAGUACGUCAGAGGGGGGUAGAAUUCCACGUGUAGCAGUGAAAUGCGUAGAGAUGUGGAGGAAUACCGAUGGCGAAGGCAGCCCCCUGGGAUGAUACUGACGCUCAUGCACGAAAGCGUGGGGAGCAAAC